GGGACGUAGCUCAGAUGGUAGAGCGCUCGCUUAGUAUGAGAGAGGUACGGGGAUCGAUACCCCGCGCCUACA
rnacentral:tRNA from 1 species